UUUAGGGCUCCCUGGAAUUGGCCUUGAAGCUCAUCCACUACAGCUUCGAGCCCCCCUUCGUAAGGACGUCUUCCUCAAGUCGUUGAUCAAACUUGACCACGACAUUCUCCAUCUUAGAAAGCCACUUCUCCAUCAUGGCUACUACAUCUCUAGAUCGUUCCCUCUUUGAUUUGCCCUCACGAUCCAUGUUGACCUUGGACAGGUCUGUCUCCACAUCGGAUCCGCUCUUCAACAUGCUUCUUCGAAUGAUUCGAGCUUUGGCUCUGAUACCAACUGUCACGGGAUGACUUUUUCAAAGUCUUCCUUCCGUGCGGCCUUAGACUUGAUCACCUCUCGAACAAGCUAAGUUAGCCUUCUUCCAACAAAAUAAGAUCGAACCAAGCAAGAACAAUCACAACAGCAAGAACAAUAAGAACGCUUAAGAGAGUUUGGGAGAAUAUGUGCUUGUAUUAUUACUCAAAUGCUUUACAAGUUGUGAGGUGAGGAUACACAAUGUGACAUCCUCCUUAUAUACUGUAUCCCACCUACCACCACACUAGGUGGCUAAGAUACAAAGUCACCAACCGAAAUCUACCUACUACUUCCACCAACCAACGUUUACCUACUACUGUACAAUGAAUCUGGACAUGUGGGCUAAGAGGUCUAGCAUGAUCAAUCCAAUGAGCUGGGCCUUGAAACAUGCGGGCCAUGCCACAAGGUUCCUCAACUUAAAUGCGGAAUAUGCAACCGAUGUUUUCAUGAUUCUUCUAGAUAUGACUCACCACAAACAAGACAAGAAGGUAGAUUUAUAGUUGCAUAUGUGUAGAUUGAUAUGUAAUUUGGUAGAUUUUCCUUUUUAUGAUGGGGAAUCAACACAUUACGUAAUCUACUAUUUUUUGUCCUUGAUCUUUUUUUUUUUUUUUUUUUUGUCAAUCAAGUUAUCCUCGCACAUCUGUUUUGUUCAUAUCAUGCCGUUAGAGUCCAUCAAUAAUCAGUUCUAUUUUUUGUACAUGAGAGAUAUUGGGAUAAGAGGAUUUCCCUUUGAAAACAACAAAAACAUUUUUGAAAACAUUAAAAAUAAAUAAUAAAAAAAGGGAAAAUUUCCAUUGUAGAUACACAAACCCUAAUCCAGACUUAGAUGCUUUUUUUACAUAACACAUAAAUGACUCAAUCAAAGAAGAAGGCCAAGAAUAUGCAGAAUGUACUUGAGUCAAAGGGAAAAAAGGAAUGAAUGACCAUCAGAAAAUCAAGCAUGGUAAGGUUGCUCAGCUCAAAUGUGAACUGUUCUAGAUCUGACUCACCACAAACAAGACAAGAAGGUAGGAUUUAUAGUUCUAGAAAUUAUUUGUAGAUUAAUGUGAUAUGGUAGAUUUUUUAUUUUUUAUGAUAAGGAAUCAAAGUUUAUGAACAUACUGUAAUCGUACCAAAGUUUCUGAAGUUGUGGUCGUUUGAUU
rnacentral:lncRNA from 1 species